rnacentral:rRNA from 1 species
UACGUAGGGCGCGAGCGUUGUCCGGAUUUAUUGGGCGUAAAGAGCUCGUAGGCGGCUUGUCGCGUCGACUGUGAAAACCCGCGGCUCAACCGUGUGGUCUGCAGUCGAUACGGGCAGGCUAGAGUUCGGUAGGAGAGACUGGAAUUCCUGGUGUAGCAGUGAAAUGCGUAGAUAUCAGGAGGAAUACCGAUGGCGAAGGCAGGUCUCUGGGCUAGAACUGACGCUCAUGCACGAAAGGCGUGGGGAGCAAACAGG